UGCAGAUCUGGUUGAUCCUGCCGGACCCGACUGCUAUCAGAGUGGGACUAAGCCAUGCGAGUCAACAUAGCAAUAUGUGGCAUACGGCUCAGUAACACGUAGUCAACAUGCCCAGGGGACGUGGAUAACCUCGGGAAACUGAGGAUAAACCGCGAUAGGUCAUCACUUCUGGAAUGGGUAAUGACUUAAAUCUAUAUGGCCCCUGGAUUGGACUGCGGCCGAUCAGGCUGUUGGUGAGGUAAUGGCCCACCAAACCUGUAACCGGUACGGGCUCUGAGAGGAGGAGCCCGGAGAUGGGCACCGAGACAAGGGCCCAGGCCCUAUGGGGCGCAGCAGGCGCGAAACCUCUGCAAUAGGCGAAAGCUUGACAGGGUUACUCUGAGUGAUUUCCGUUAAGGAGAUCUUUUGGCACCUCUAAAAAUGGUGCAGAAUAAGGGGUGGGCAAGUCUGGUGUCAGCCGCCGCGGUAAUACCAGCACCCCGAGUGGUCGGGACGUUUAUUGGGCCUAAAGCAUCCGUAGCCGGUUCUACAAGUCUUCCGUUAAAUCCACCUGCUUAACAGAUGGGCUGCGGAAGAUACUAUAGAGCUAGGAGGCGGGAGAGGCAAGCGGUACUCGAUGGGUAGGGGUAAAAUCCGUUGAUCCAUUGAAGACCACCAGUGGCGAAGGCGGCUUGCCAGAACGCGCUCGACGGUGAGGGAUGAAAGCUGGGGGGGCAAACCGGAUUAGAUACCCGGGUAGUCCCAGCUGUAAACGAUGCAGACUCGGUGAUGAGUUGGCUUAUUGCUAACUCAGUGCCGCAGGGAAGCCGUUAAGUUUGCCGCCUGGGGAGUACGGUCGCAAGACUGAAACUUAAAGGAAUUGGCGGGGGAGCACCACAAGGGGUGAAGCCUGCGGCUCAAUUGGAGUCAACGCCGGAAAUCUUACCGGGGGCGACAGCAGAGUGAAGGUCAAGCUGAAGACUUUACCAGACAAGCUGAGAGGAGGUGCAUGGCCGUCGCCAGCUCGUGCCGUGAGGUGUCCUGUUAAGUCAGGUAACGAGCGAGAUCCCUGCCUCUAGUUGCUACCAUUAUUCUCAGGAGUAGUGGAGCUAAUUAGAGGGACCGCCGUCGCUGAAACGGAGGAAGGUGGGGGCUACGGCAGGUCAAUAUCCCCGAAACCCUCGGCCACACGCGGCUGCAAUGGUAAGGACAAUGAGUUUCGAUUCCGAAAGG
rnacentral:rRNA from 1 species